rnacentral:lncRNA from 1 species
UUUGGACCCCAACUCCAACCUUUGAGAAUUUUAUUCAGGGAGACAGGGAUGAUAACCAGUUUCUGUUUAUUGUGGUAAAAUAUACAUAACAUACAAUUUACCAUUUUAACCAUUUUAAGUGAUGUGGCAUUAAGUACAUUCACAUUGUUGUGCAGCAUCAUUACUCUCCAUCUCCAAAACUUUUUCAUCAUCUCAUACUGAAACCUGUACCUGUUAAAUAAUAACUCUCCAUUUUCUUCUCCCACUAGCCCAGGUAACCACCGUUUCUACUUUUGUCUUUAUGAAUUUGACUAUUCUAGGUACCUAGGUGACACAAUAUUUGUCCUUCUGUGUGUAGCUUAGUUCACUUAGCAUAAUGUUUUCUAGAUUCAUCCAUGUUGUAGCAUGUAUCCAAAUUUCCUUCUUUUCUAAGGCCGAAUAAUAUUCCAUUGUACGUAUAUACCAUGUUUUAAUUCAGCCAUCCAUGGACAUGUGGGUUGUUUCUACCUUUUGUUUAUUGUAAAUAAUGCUGCUGUGAACAUUGGUAUCUGAGUCCCUGCUUUCAAUUCUUUGGGGUAUGUACCCAGAAAUGGAAUUGCUGGAUCAUACCAUAAUGCAUGUUUAAUUUUUGUUGGAACUGUCAUCCUUUUUUCCACAGCAGCUGCACCAUUUUACAUUCCUGCUAGCAGUGCACAGGGAUUCUAAUUUUCCAACAUCCUUGCCAACGCUUGUUUUCUGUUUUAGCUGUCUGUAACAAAAAUACCAUAGACUGGGUGGUUUAAACAACAAACAUUUAUUUCUCACAGUUUGAGAGGCUGGGAAUUCUAAGAGAAGGUGCAAGGUGCCAGCAAAUCCAGUGUGUGAUGAGGAUACUGUUCCUGCUUUACAGAUGACCAUCUUUCCAUUCCAUUUUCACAUGGCUGCCUCUAAGAAUCAAACUUCACUCUUGGGAGAACCACC